GGGGCUGUGGCUCAAUGGUAGAGUGCUUGCCUAAUACAUGCAGGACCCUGGGUUCAAUCCUCAGCACCA
rnacentral:tRNA from 1 species